GUGCAUUUCCGUUCUUUGUUGGCUAAGCGAUUUUCAGGGUAAUUCCGACGAUGAACGAGUCUUUAUUCUGCUAAAUAGUAAACUGGUCUACUGUGCUCCAUUAGGAAACGGCUCCUGUUGACUAUUUGUGGAGUAGUGCCGUAGUUGUCCAGUGGGUGCGGUACCAACUUUUAUUUCUUGGAGAGACAACUGGUACAAUUAAGUCUCACGAAGUUUAGUAAUAGGUCUGUGAUGC
rnacentral:ncRNA from 1 species